rnacentral:rRNA from 1 species
UGGCUCAGGACGAACGCUGGCGGCGUGCCUAAUGCAUGCAAGUCGAACGCAGCAGGCUAGUCCUGGCUGCGUGGCGAACGGCUGAGGAACACGUGGGUCACCUGCCCCGGAGUGGGGGAUACCCCGUCGAAAGACGGGACAAUCCCGCAUACGCUCGACAGAGGAAAGCCGCAAGGCGCUCCGGGAGGGGCCUGCGGCCCAUCAGGUAGUUGGUGUGGUAACGGCGCACCAAGCCAAUGACGGGUACCCGGUCUGAGAGGACGACCGGGCAGACUGGGACUGCGAGACGGCCCAGACUCCUACGGGAGGCAGCAGCAAGGAAUUUUCCCCAAUGGGCGCAAGCCUGAGGGAGCAACGCCGCGUGGAGGACGACGGGCCUUCGGGUUGUAAACUCCUUUCGGGGUGGGGACGAUGCUGACGGGUACCACCAGAAGCAGCCCCGGGCUAACUCUGUGCCAGCAGCCGCCGUAAAAACCUGAGACUACCAAAGGGCACACAGGGGGAUA